AAAUUAAUCUACGUCAUUUGUUAACGAAAUUGAUACACAAACAAACCUUUAUGCCACAAAUACGAUUAGUUAAUUUAAAUUGUUUAUAUGGACAUAAGUAGUGAAAUACUGAAGCUUUUGUACUAGUCAUGUGAAUGUAAAUAAGCCUAUAUUAACUUUAGAACAUGGAUGUACACAUUGUUAUAACUUUUACCCACAUGUAGAGAAAUCUAAAAUUAGGUACCCAUUUUCGUUGACAUAAUAUUGAUGAAGAACUGGUCAAAAAGACAUGUGUACGAUAGAGGAUAUGCGGGAUGUUUAAGUAAAACAUGUCCUUAACCAUUCUGUUGGAACUUGGGCACAGUGCCUCUUUGAAACAGAAAAAAGAUUCUGCAGGAUUCACUCAUGAUUGGGAAGUUUUUGUUAGAGGACAGAACGAAGCUAAGAUUCAAUAUUAUGUAGAAAAGGUGGUCUUCAAUCUGCAUGAAAGUUUUCCCAAACCAAAGCGAGUUGUAAAGGAUCCGCCGUUUUCGAUCAGAGCCUCUGGGUAUGCCGGUUUUAUCAUUCCUAUCGAUAUAUACCUGAAGAAUAAUAACGAACCGAAAAGGAUAACAUUUGAUUAUGAUCUUUAUCUUCAUUCGUCUGGCCCUUCGAUUCAUAGAGUACAAAAAGAGAAACACACAUUUCCCAGCCCGUCUGAAGAAUUUAGAAGUAAGCUGUUGAAAGGAGGAGCAAUAGGGGAAGGAAAUCACGAAAAUAGUAUAAAAGAAGACAAAAAUCAAAUGAGUAAUAGACCAAAAUUAGGUACGUCGGAUGUCCCAAAAAAACACAAAAUGAAACUAGACGAGCCAAGAACGACCGACUUCGAAAACCUUUUUGGUACUCCAAUUAAAAAAACUAGUAAACUUCCCGAAACUCCUAAACCGAAGGAACCUCCCCCCGCAAAACCCCCAAACCCUGAAAAAUCUUCUGAAAAAGACAAAAGUGAUAAGGUAAAAUCAAAUAAAAGUGCCCAUAAAGAUAAGGAUAAAGAUAAAGAAAAAUCCAAAGAAAAGUCCUCGGAAAAUGCGGAUAAAAGAAAUAAAGAAGAGAAGAGAAAAUCAAAAGAUGAUAAAAGUAAAGACAGGGACAGACCGAAGGAAAAAAGUUCCAAAAAAGACAAAGAAAGAGAAAAAUCACCAGUUUCCAGACCGAGAAGUCCAAGUCCAAAAAAAUCACCUAAACGAGAACCUAGCCCACCUCCAGUACAAAAACAUAGUAAUAAAGAAAAAGAAAGUAGCAAAGAAGAGAAAAAAGAGAAAGAUAAAGAUAAGGAUAAAAAGGAAGAUAAAAAAUCGAAAAAAGAUAAAAGGGACCACAAAGAAGGUAAACACAAAGAUAGGGAAAAGGAUAAGGAACAUCGAGAGCAUAAAAGUAAAGAUAGCAGUAAAUCUAGGGAAAAAGAACCUUCAGUUAUUAAGAAGGAAUCUAGUCCUGCUCUUCCUACACCUAUAAGUUCUCAAAAUUCUCACAAGACUGAUAAAAAACCGAAAGAAAAAGAACCUAUUAAGGAACCACCAAAAGAAGAGGAAAAAAUAGAGAAACCAGAAAAGCGUGAAAAGACAAUUAAUGAACCCGAAGACAGACAGAAACACAAGCAUAAGAAAAAAGACCGCAAAGAAAAGAAAGAAGAGAAACAUUCCAAAAAGGAAGAAAGAAAGAUCGAGAAACAUCCCAGUUCAACUACUAAUUCUAAAGAAGUAGUUGUUAAAGAGGAAAAACCCACGCCCCCUCCCCCCAAUCGACCAGUAGAUAAAAGUAAUUUAUUCGGUAGUCCGAAAAGUAGAUCCCCUUCGACUCCUAAGGAGCCAGAAAUUAAAGUAGAAAAUAAUACCCUCUUUUCCAGGGAUGAUGAGUCGUCAAACGACUCGGUAAAGAUGAGUAGCAGAGAAGCAUCACCGGUCCAAAGGCCGCCUUCAAAAUCCCCCUCGCCCCUUCCACCAGUUGAACCUGUAAAAAAACCGGAACCUGAGAAGAAAAAGGAGCCAUCGCCAAAGAAAAAAGACAAAAAGGAAAAGAAAAAGGACAAGAAAGUCGACAAAGAAAAAGAUCACGAGAAAAAGAAAAAACGGAAAAGUGAUCCUAUUACAAAUGAUAAAUUAGAACCUCCGGAAAAAAUUGUAAAGUUAGAAGAAGAGAAUAAUUCGGACGAGGAAAGUAAAGUAUCAAGCACUGAAGAUACUACAGCGGUCAUUCAACCAAAAAGUGAAUGCGAUAUGGACAUGCUGCGUGAACUUCAGCGUAAAAUAAUGAGCCUGAAGGACAAUUCUGAUCUCCAAAAAGUGGUACAACUAAUUGCAGAAACCGGCCAGUACGAAGUCUCUGCUCAUACAUUCGAUUUCGAUUUGUGUUUGUUAGAUAGGUCAACAGUGAGGCAACUACAAGACUUUUUCUCAACGAUAUCGUAGUAAAAACUAAUUAUAAACACUCCAAAGAGUUGUGAAUAGUGGUGUGUCGGUCACGGUAAAAGUAGAGCUGGGUAAAAUCUAUGUUUAAUUACUUUUUAUAACAAUCGAUGUAAACGUAGACAAUUUUUAUAUAUUUCUUUAUGUCGAUUAGUCUUUUUUAUGAAAAUUCGAAUCUGGUAAGAAGUACAAACUCAUUCUCUAAAAUCUGCUUAAGUACAAAUAAAUUAAUAAUUAAUAUCGUCAUUCUACAGCUGAAAAUGUUUGAUGUUUUGCUCUUUUUAAAAAUUACAAAAAAGUGUUACUUCAAAAUAUACAAUUAUACCAGUUUAUCUGUGAAAAAAUCAUUGAUUUCGCGUAAAAAUCUUAUACAAAUAUUUGAAGGUUCUAAAAGCUAUAUGAGGGGUAACUAACUGAUAAUCUUAAAAAGGGAAAAAAAUAUUUUUUGAAACGUUUCUUACACAUUUUAGAGAAAUAUAGUUCAAAUAAAAGUUGUAGAUCAUAUCAACUUCUUUAAUUUUGAGCCAUUCCAAAUUAAAAUACAUAAACAAUUGACUGAAAUAUUUGCAAAACCCCUUAUUUUUGCGCAAUUUAUAAAUGUUGGUAACUUUGUUUUUUGCAUUAUGGUAUUUAAUAUAACUACUGGACAGUUAAUGAGUUAUUAAAGUGUGCUGAAUUUCAAACAUAUCGACCAACUUACUUUCUAGAACCUUUUAUGGCCAAUAGGAAAUAAGAUAGCGUUUUUAAAUCAUAUUUUAAUAAAAGAAAAGAAAAGAUGGUUCAGAUUUGAUUACAGUACAGAGCCUCUACUAUGUGCUUAUACAUAUUUCGGAAUAACCUUUUCCUCAUCGGAGCACCUGGAUAGAGGCACUGAACUAAAAUCAAAUCCUUUCAUCCUUUCCGGGUAAUUAUCAAAAUAGUUACCAAAGAUGCUACUAGCACCAUCUAUGAAUCGAAAGUUGAGUCAGGAAAUAAAAUUCGAAAUCAUUUAUCCUCUGAGCUUUUUAAGUUGGAAAAAUGAAGUAUAACAGAGUGGCGAAAUACUCGACAAGGGAAAUCUAAAUUGCAUUUCACGUCCUGUUAGGACGUGAAUCUAGCAUCUUUGGUAAUUAUUUUGAUAAUUACCCGGAAAGGAUGAAAGAAUUUGAUUUCAGUUCAGUGCCUCUACCCAGGUGCUCCUAUGAGGAAACGGUUAUUCCGAAAUACGUAUAAGCACAUAGUAGAGGCUCUGUACUGUAAUCAAAUCUGAACCAUCUUUUCUUUUAGUUUAUAUUUUAUUCACUUUUGGUGGAUAUUAAAGGAAAUAGUUCGCUAAAAUUAUUAUCACGGUGAAUGACAGGACGUGAAAUGCAAUUUAGAUUUCCCUUGUCGAGUAUUUCGCCACUCUGUUAUGCUUUAUUUUUCCAACUUAAAAAGCUCAGAGGAUAAAUAAUUUCGAAUUUUAUUUCCUGACUUAUUAGACUUUUGAUUCAUAUUUUAAUAACUCAUUAACUGCCACCAUUUUGAGUAGGUAGUUUUAUUACAUCAUUAUGCAAAAAAAUAAAGAUAUUAACGUUUAUAAAUUAUUGCAAAAAUAAGGGUUUUUUAAAAUUAUCUGUCAAUUGUUUAGGUCUUUUAAUUUGGAGAUUCAUUUUAUGAUUUACAACUUUUAUUUGAACCAUUUUUCUUUAAAAUAUAUAAGAUACAUUUUAUAUGCAAAAAAUACUUUUUUCACUUUUUCAAAAAUCAGCUGUACGUCUUCACUAGUUUUUCAUCAGCUACCCCUCGUAUACCUUUUAGACUCUUCAAAUAGCUGUAGUAAGAUUUUUUCUGCUGUUUUUCCUUGACUGGUAUAAAUUAUUUAAGAGCACUUAAAUCAUAUUCGAUAUGGUCUACCUCAAUACCUCCAAUAUCUUUGUACAUCAAACACAAUAUGGGCUGUUUCAUAUUAUAAGAAUUUUGAACGUGAUAAUUUUGACGCACUUGUUCUUUUCACACAAUAAGAAUUGAGUCGCACGAAGAUAUUUUGCUGUGUUGUUUGGUAUAUUAUUUUUAUUUAUACUUUGUGGCUGAGGUAGGUACAUGAUUGAUGUCUGAUAUGUAUCAUGACGAUAUAUCAUUACAAAUGAGUAUUUUUUGUCCAUACUUUUGUCCUAAUGUACUGUAAUGCGUAUUUAAUUCAUUUGAAAUUUCUAUUUUGUCAGUUAUUAUUUCUUAUGUUUUUACUUAAAAGUCUUAAUUUGUUUUUAUAAUCGUUGUUCUGCUAAGUUAUUUGUGGGAUCUUGUAUUAGCUCAUCUAAUUAGCUCAUACAAUAUAUGUAACAAACUAUUCUAAAUGGGAAAUAAGCCACAAUUUAACUAAAAAAUUAUUUUAUUAACGUUUCGACAUCCGAUUUGGGCGUCUAAAUGUUAAUAAAAUAAUUUUUUAGUUAAAUUGUGGCUUAUUUCCCAUUUAGAAUAGUUUAUUACAAAAAUGCCACAAGGAAAUAGCUUCAGAACAACAUUACAAUCUAUGUUUUUCAUGUACAUAAUUUAAAAGACCUCCGUCAUCCACUCGUUGUUAAAUGUUGUUCCCCUCGUUUUAAAUGUUGUUUUUAGAUAAUUUCACACAAGACGUGACGGCCGCCCUACUCCAGUCUUCACCGAGUCGUUUACCCUAUAAAACUGAAUUUAAUUUCGUAGAAUAAAAGGUAUAGUUAUAUUAUAUGAAGCGAAAUCAAAUUAUAGCGUUGUGGUUACUUUAUCUUCGAAGAAAGAGAAAUAAGAGGAACCGAAUUCAUUGGGUCCAUCCUAUGAACGCAAAAAGAUACGAUUUAUAUAUUUUUAUAUUCACACAUAUUGAUGGAGCACCCUCUAUACUAAACGUUAAUUGCAACUAUGUAAAAUAAAGUUUAUAUGUGUUUUUUUUUCUUUAUCACCUAAUUCGUCAAAUUCACUGUUAAGUGCACGGCAUACACCAUUCCAAGCAUUUCUCGUCAAGUUUCUAUCUUUACAUAUUUCUAUUGUUUUGUCCCAAAGAACCGGUCUCGCUUCAAUUAAUUUUAUUAAUAUUUCACUAUCAAUCUGAGACAUCAUAAUAUAAAAUAUAUGCACCUACUUCAAACAGUCACAAAGUGUAAAUGAAAAUAAUGUACCAAACAGCCAAAGAAACUACCUUCGUUCGACUGAACGACAGUAUCAUACGAAAGGAUGCAUUAAGUCCCCUAUGCUACUGGCUGCUGUCUGUUGUAGCAAGGGACGACAUAAACACGGCGACUUCACCAAACGUUCCAACCACCGUCUAGUGAGAAAGGCUCCAUAUGAUUACAUGAGCCACCAUUGGAAUAUUUUCGUGCGUUCUAACCAUCGCAUGUUUAAAUUCUUAUAAUGUGAAACAGCGCUAUGAUUUCGUCGCGCAGGUUUUGAAAGUGCUAUUUUACCUACAUUGGUUAUAUAAAUCUGUUUAAAUAGGUGCAAAUUUAUAAAGGUUACUAGCCCAUUUCAUGUACAUAUCGAUACUGUUGCUUUUAAUGCUACUGACAAGUCAGAAACAAAAGUAUUGACGUUUUUUACUAUUAGAAUUUUUUUUAUUUGCUUUGACCUUGACAAUUAGCCAGCCUGUUUGAAUUUUGUACAUAUUGUUAGUAAUCAGUGUCGAUUAGGUAGUUGAAUAGAAAACAAAGCGCGCAAUGAAGUUGAAGCGAUGAAAAUAACGCGAGCGUUGCAGAGUUAAGAAGAGAAGCGAAAGAAGAAAAAUGUACAGAACCGUUAGCUUUGUAUUGUUUUUGCAUUGUGUUUUUUGAAAUAAAGUUUUUAAUCGUUGAA
rnacentral:misc_RNA from 1 species